UACGUAGGGUGCAAGCGUUGUCCGGAUUUAUUGGGCGUAAAGAGCUCGUAGGCGGCUUGUCGCGUCGUCCGUGAAAACCUGCGGCUCAACUGCAGGCUGGCGGGUCGAUACGGGCCAGGCUGGAGUUCGGUAGGGGGAGACUGGAAUUCCUGGUGUAGCGGUGAAAUGCGCAGAUAUCAGGAGGAACACCGGUGGCGAAGGCGGGCUC
rnacentral:rRNA from 1 species